UUAAAUACCUAGUAGGAGAGACACCAUCAUCACGAAGGUGAUUUUACCAAGGCAAGGCUUAUCCAAUGAACACCAGAUGUGCUGACCCCUGCAAUUACUUCAAAUGAUAGAAACCUGAUUGAAUAAUUUGUGCUAAUCUGGUGCUGUGUUCACAAUCUUCCCUGA